AGGCACUUUGUGUUCCCAGUGUUGCAGACUCAUACAUGGAACCACUUAUGACUUUACAGCAGUAGCCACGGAUUAUAUGUGGGCUGCUAUGAAGACCUUACCUCAUCAUUUUGCAUAAUCAUCAUGACUGAAGUAACAAUUGCUGCAGCUAGCACUAUUGAUCUCAAUAGUGCUCAGGUAAUUAAGAGCUCUUUAUGAAGUACUCAAAUGAAAAAGGAGGAUUUUCAGCAGUUCUCAGCAUUGUUGUUCCAGGACUUGUACUGCAGAAAUGGUGUGGAUCCCCAGAUGGAAGGAAUUGUACUAAUUGACACACUCUUUCAAGAUUUCAAUUGCAAAUCACGUGAAAAGUACAGACACCUUUCCUAAAUAAGUAAAAAGAAGAGAAUAUGUUGAGUGAAGUAGUCAGGAUUUAAAAGAGACUGGAGAUUUGUCAAAUGAAGAAUUUACAGAGUGACCUUAUGUCAGGUGGCAUAGAGUUGAUUUUCUUCCUAGAGGAGCUUUGCAGAAAUAAAAAAUACUCAAAAUCAGCAUCACCAAGAACAGCAGUGUUGUUCAGAACAUCUGUUAUUGAAGAGCUCGGCCUCAAGCAUCUUUAAAUGAGCAUCUGGUUGUUUAUUUAUUUAUUUGUUUACUGUUGCAAUUGAUUUUAAAAUAAUCAAGACAUUGUAAAUCCAAAAGUCUUUUAGAAGUAUUUUAAGGAAUGCUGGAAAACAAUUGUUUCUACAAUUGAACAGCUUACCUAUGUUUUGCACAGCAAUAUCAGACUGCAACAAUAAAAAAACCAGUUAUUCUUCUGUCAUCUAAGUAAUUCUCAUUAAAUUAUUAUUUUUUUAAUAUCCCGCAUCAGAUAAUUACUUCUUACCAGUUCACACACCUUACACCAACUAUGAAAACUGAUGAAUGAUAUUAGUAAAAUAUCCCUCGACUUCUAUAUUCAAUCAUUCAGGAGUUAAGUAAUUUAAUAUAUUAAAUUUGUAAUUUUGAGGUCAAUUUCACUAAAUAGGAAUCUUGUAAAUAGGUGUUAGAGGUGGCUGUGCAAAACAAAAACCAACAGUAAUGACGGUGAUAAUUUUAUAACAUAAAAUGGAAGUAAGCCAAACAAAACAGCCAAAUAAAGUAAUCACAGUCAGCUAAAUAAAACAUCUCAGUUUAUACAUGCCAUUGACAGACAACAAAUCUGCCGAUUAAUCAGUGUACCCAUACCAAUAUGAUUUGAUUCCAGAAGCAGAAAAAGUCAGAACAUGAAAAAAUUUGAAGACACUGACACAUAGAUUUUCCCAUGAAUCUCUGGUAAAAACAUUACAUAAUUCUCAUCUUCUGUUCAUCGUUUUAACAGAUUCUGAUUUUUGUGAAAUAGUCAGAUGAUUUAACAUCACUUAUUUUUCUGUGGAAAAAGUAUAAGAAAUGAACUUGGUAUGUGGAGGAUUAUACAUAAUUCUUCACAAACUUUUCACAUGUGUUUCUGUUCUUUAAAUCUCUUGUGUAAAAAUAAAAAAAGAGACUUUUCCUUUCAAGUUUUUGCUUUCUCAUUGACUUCUUUUAUACAGCCAAAUGUUUCUCAUUUUGAAUCCCACUGAAUGAAGGAAAUGCAAUAUAUUUCAAUUAGAGUUGGGCUAAUCUUUCUGCCAAAUUCACCAGUCUGUGUAAAACUCUGAUAAGAGUACUGACUGAAAUUGAUAAAAUUAGACAUCUUUGGCUGAGUUGUUCACAUCAGAAUUAUAAGUUUAGAUGACAAAACUAAUUUAAAAAAUGGACUUUACUGAUUCCUACUUUAUACCAAUAUAAAUGCCACAAAGAGUCAGAACUGAUGGAUGACAGCAUCAUGAAAACAGCAAAUGGGAGACCAACAGGGUCCAUUUCUAAAUUAGAUUCACAAAUUCAACCGUGUGAGAGCAAGCUAUGUAGCUGGCACCACAACAGGAAAUGGUCCACAUUAGGGAAAAAAAAAAGUUCAUGACAUUUCUUCUCUGUCUUAAAUUAUCACAUGCAUUUCACUCUCCAUCUUUCACCUUAGUUUCCAUGACCAAAGCCUUGCAGCUGAAGUAUUGUAAAAGUAACUGCCUCUCUAGAGGCAACUAGUGUUCAGGCUUGCUAUGUGAAACAGGCUCCACUUAAUGCAAUAAAUCCAUUAAUAUUUGAGCAAAAAUUGAGAUGCUUUCCUGCUCAAACCAAGUAACAGAACAGAUUUUAUUAGUGUGGUAUUAGAGAGUGAAACAGUAUGAACAGGUGGAACUGCAGACAGGCUGAACUAAUAUGAAUGAAAACACAAUAAUUCCACUCUUCCAUGCCUGCUGAGUACAUUAUUGUAGAAGGAGGGUGUAGCAUUUACUGCAGACAUUAACUGAGUGGCCUGUUCUCUGGGCUCAUCAAUGUAAGUAGUUCUAUGAUUCCUUACACUGUGCACUUAGUUUAAAUCCUACAGAAAUUAACUUUAACUUCAUGCAAGAAAGUCAGUACAGUCAAAUUAGCUCCAUGCACCAUCCAAGUUACAGAGCCCUGCUGACAUGCAGUUUGUGUGACCUGAGCUGAGCAUAUUACAGCUGUAGAUAUCUUCCUCCUCCUAGUGAUACUGUUGACCUCAGAGCUCAUUCAAAGCUCUGUAUGGAAGCACUGCAUUGCACUGUCUGUUUUCGUACCUGCUUCUAUAAACAGUGUUAUCUUCUGUUCCUGGAAAUAAUUUGUUUCUGUCUCCUUAUCAGAAAGCUGGUCUCUCCAGUGGUUUGACCUCCUGCAUCAGUCCAGAUGUGUGAAAUAUUCAGAGUCUUCACUGACCGUUGCAGGAACAGUGUAGGGCGAUAUUGUUAAAAUAUUUAUAUUCAGUUUCAGAUACUGUUAAAGCAUCAGCUUGGCAGAGAAGACAGAAUCCUAAACUUCGCAAGCAAUGAAGGAGCAAAUUAUUUUCAAACAUUUUGUUUUAAAAUGUAAAUAUAGCUACAACUUUAAAAUGUUGCACAUAUGGAAUCUUAAAUGUUCUAAUAAAACCUUUGAAUUUUGCUUUAAAGUUUAAUGGAAUGUUGGGAAACAGCUUGCUUGGCAGCGCUCGGUAGCACGUAGUUACUGAUUUACUAAUGAUUUAUGAUGUAAUGAUGUAAUCCCUAGAUACAUGGAAUGUGGUGUUUCCAGUGUGUUCUAGUAUAUUUCAGCAUAUCCAUAGUAUUCUGUAUCCAUAGUAUUGUAGUUAACAACAUAUCCCAUAUAUGGUGAUUACUCGGGCAACGAUUUGUUAGCGUGUGCGUUGCAUAGAGCUUGUAUCCCUGGACCCUGUAUCCCUGGAAGCAUAUAUGCUAUAUAAGAUGGUGUGUUGCUACAAAAAAGUAGAAGCCGUGAACUCAU